rnacentral:rRNA from 1 species
GAUAAACGCUGGCGGCGUGCCUAACACAUGCAAGUCGAACGCCCUGGAGCAAUUCAGGGAGUGGCGGACGGGUGAGGAACACGUGGGUGAUCUGCCUUGAGGUGAGGAAUACCGGCGAGAAAUCGCCGACAAUACCGCAUAGGUUCGUAAGAACAAAGUCGCAAGACGCCUUGAGAUGAGCCUGCGUCCGAUUAGCCAGUUGGUGGGGUAAUGGCCUACCAAAGCAGCGAUCGGUAGCUGGUCUGAGAGGACGAUCAGCCACACUGGGAUUGAGAACGGCCCA